AAGGCAAUGUUGCAUACUAGAGGGAACAUCUAAUUCUUCUCCUUGCCAAUAUUCACAUUCAGAAAGCUAAUAAGCAGUCUGUCUUGAAGGAUCUUGCAGGCAAAGGACACCAAGUGAAUUAGAUAGAGAGGUUAAGAACUUGAGGGUGGCAUUUACUGACCUGUUUUUGAAGCAUAACACUUUCAAAGAAACUGCAAAA